UGAAACUGAAUACCUUUGGGCAGUAUCUAAUUAAAUAACAUUCAGUGUUAUUCAAAGUGUUAAUAUUAUAUAAUAACUUAAAAUAACUAUUGGAAAACUAUAUUUUUAAUUAAUCUAUACCUAAAAACUAAAUUACGUUUUACUUUCUCCAUUAAGUGUUGUUACUGCUUUCGUUUUAAAACUCAAAUACUAAUAGGUUUAUCGUGUGCAUAUGACGUACUUACUGUACAUGCAAUAAUAUUGCAUUAGUACAGGUAUUGAUUCGAGCGGGAGGACCUGUUAUUAUGCUUUGCCGUGUUUGAGAACAUACUGCACCUCGAUGCAGUCUUCCAAAUCAUAACACUGUAAUAUUCUCAGUUACUAACUAGAAAUAAUAGAGCACUGUGUACGUUAGAGGAGAAAUACAGUAAAAAUAAUGUGCUGCAUUUGCAAUCUCUUUUAUCAACUCUUAUCCUUGGCUUUGAGUUUAUUUUUUGUAAUUAUAUUGGUUUUAGUUAUUUUAUGGAUUCUCGGAGUAAUAUGAUAUUCAAAUAUUCAUGAAGAAAACUAAUCCGAGCAAUUAAUACUAUGUUUUAUAUCAUAUUACCUUAGUUAUGGUUGUAAUAUUGAUGCAAACAAUAAUAAGUAUAAUUAUACUAAUUAAUUAUGAAGUACCUAAGUGAGACAGAGGCAAUCCACGCAGACGAUUAUAAUAUAAAGUUUCGGUUUCAUGUAAUAUUAUAUUAUGAUGUUCCUAGUGUAUAAAUAUUUUUUCUAGUAUUACUUGUGUAAAACUUAGUGCAAUGGAUAUAAAAUUUAUUUUUUAAAGAUU